rnacentral:miRNA from 1 species
GAUGCGGCCGGUGCCGGGUCU